rnacentral:rRNA from 1 species
GAUGAACGCUGGCGGCGUGCCUAAUACAUGCAAGUCGAGCGAACAGACGAGGAGCUUGCUCCUCUGACGUUAGCGGCGGACGGGUGAGUAACACGUGGAUAACCUACCUAUAAGACUGGGAUAACUUCGGGAAACCGGAGCUAAUACCGGAUAACAUGUUGAACCGUAUGGUUCAACAGUGAAAGACGGUCUUGCUGUCACUUAUAGAUGGAUCCGCGCCGCAUUAGCUAGUUGGUAAGGUAACGGCUUACCAAGGCAACGAUGCGUAGCCGGACUGAGAGGGUAGUCUGCCACACUGGAACUGAGACCCGGUCCAGACUCCUACGGGAGUCAGCAGUAGGGAAUCUUCCGCAAUGGGCGAAAGCCUGACGGAGCAACGCCGCGUGAGUGAAGAAGGUCUUCGGAUCGUAAAACUCUGUUAUUAGGGAAGAACAAAUGUGUAAGUAACUAUGCACGUCUUGACGGUACCUAAUCAGAAAGCCACGGCUAACUACGUGCCAGCCGCCGCAGUAA